UACGAAGGGGGCUAGCGUUGCUCGGAAUCACUGGGCGUAAAGCGCGCGUAGGCGGCUUUCUAAGUCAGGGGUGAAAUCCUGGAGCUCAACUCCAGAACUGCCUUUGAUACUGGAGAGCUAGAGUCCGGAAGAGGUGAGUGGAACUCCUAGUGUAGAGGUGGAAUUCGUAGAUAUUAGGAAGAACACCAGUGGCGAAGGCGACUCACUGGUCCGGUACUGACGCUGAGGCACGAAAGCGUGGGGAGCAAACAGG
rnacentral:rRNA from 1 species